rnacentral:rRNA from 1 species
GACGAACGCUGGCGGCGUGCUUAACACAUGCAAGUCGAACGGAAAGGCCCUGCUUUUGUGGGGUGCUCGAGUGGCGAACGGGUGAGUAACACGUGAGUAACCUGCCCUUGACUUUGGGAUAACUUCAGGAAACUGGGGCUAAUACCGGAUAGGAGCUCCUGCUGCAUGGUGGGGGUUGGAAAGUUUCGGCGGUUGGGGAUGGACUCGCGGCUUAUCAGCUUGUUGGUGGGGUAGUGGCUUACCAAGGCUUUGACGGGUAGCCGGCCUGAGAGGGUGACCGGCCACAUUGGGACUGAGAUACGGCCCAGACUCCUACGGGGGGCAGCAGUGGGGAAUAUUGCACAAUGGGCGGAAGCCUGAUGCAGCAACGCCGCGUGCGGGAUGACGGCCUUCGGGUUGUAACCCGCUUUCGCCUGUGACGAAGCGUGAGUGACGGUAAUGGGUAAAGAAGCACCGGCUAACUACGUG